rnacentral:lncRNA from 1 species
CGGGGAAGGCAGCACCAACCGCCACCACCACCACAGACCCAAGCAGACGCUGGAGAACCCGAAGCUCCUUCAGGAUAACCAUCUCGUGCAUGAUACGGACCACAUGAAGGAGGAAAUGCCAGAAUACAUGACCCCUGAAACCAUUAAGAAUAUGUCACCGAGGGAACUUGACUACCAUUAUUUUAAACUCCACGACUUCGACGACAACCUCCGCCUCGACGGCCUCGAACUGCUCGCCGCCCUCGGUCACGUCCACGGCGACGACGACGACGACGACGAUGACGACGACGAAGGAGGCCAGUGAAAAGGAGGAAGAGAG